GAAACUUAGGAUAACUACUUUAAACCGAAGGCCUUCAAAGCCUUAAAUAAGAGUUAAACCCUCUUAGUUUCUGC
rnacentral:tRNA from 1 species